CUCUACAGGAAAAAUAGACCCAACCACCAUUUUUACCAAGCUCGAGUAUCAAAGAAACAAAGAGAAGUCCUUUGAGAUCAAAUUUCUUUUUUUAUUUAAUUUUUAAUUAAUUUUCAAUAUCAUUUAAAUAAUUCGAUAUUUUUAUUUAAAUAAUUUUUUUGCUAAUAAAAUUAUAAAUGUAAUUUGUCAAUAUUUUUGUUAGUUCUUUAUCAAUCUUAAUGAGCUCGAAAUAUAUUAUAAAUAUAUUAUUUUAUUUUGACUAAUUUUUUUUUUUAGAUAUAAUAGUCGACUUUUAUUUUUGAAUUAGCAAAAAUUUGAUACUAUGUUAUACAAGUACCAUUUAAACGCUACUAUAUAUAAGAUUGAGCUUCUCAAAACUUCUUUGGAUUUAAAUGGGAUCUUUUUUAAAAUUUUUUUUAUAUAUAUAUAUUUUGUCUAUUUUUUUUUAUAAUUAAGAAAUGUCAUAUUCAAAUUUAAUGCUAUCGAAAACCUUCGAAUAUCGAUUUUCAAGCAAAAAAUACAAUAACAUGGUUAUAUUGUCAAUAAUGGUUAUAUUGUCAAUGCGUUUACAAUUAUACAAUAAUUAUAAUUGGUCAUCCCUUUGUUUUUUCCUUUAGAAGAAAAAAAAGUGAAAAUUUCGAUAAUUUUUGACAAUUUUUAGACAAAUAAAUAUGGUUAUAAUGAAUUGAACAAGCCGUUACGUGCAGUUUCGUAAGAAUAGAUGAAUAUUCAAAGAAUAGAUGAAUAGAUGAACAUAAUGAUAUAUCCUUUUUUUCAUCUCUUCUCAUCUAUCAAUUUUAUAGUAUUUAGACGAGAAAAUUAUCUUUUGUUAUUGUAAUUUUAGUUGCCCAAGAUUUGUUUUAUAUUUUAUUAUCAUUAUAAUUCAAAGGAUUCAUGGAAUCCUACGUUUACUAUGGAUACAUGCUAAAUAUGAUGAUAUUUGUUCACUCAUUAUAUCGUGUUUGUACAAACAAUUGAGAAUGAUGUCCAAUAUUGUUACUUAUACUAUCCUCAAUAAAUAUAUAUAUAUAUAUAGGCAGAAUUCAAUAUAAUAAGAUUUUUUUAGAAUAACUCGAAAAUAAAAGCCAAUUGUCUGCUAUAUGAAGAAAAAUGAUGCUUUUCAAAAAAAUAUUUCAAGAUCAUUAAAAUUAACAAAGAAAAAGUUAGUCGGACAUCAAAGAAAAGAAAAGAAAGAAUACAAUAAUAUGACAUGAUUAAAACGUUAAAAAAACAAAAUGGAAGAAUCCAUUGGGCAGCACCUGAAAUACCAAAAGAAACGAAUAUUUCCUUCACCAUCGUUAGUCACUAUCGAUAUCAUUAUAUCGCAAGCAGCUUACGUAUCACCAGAAUCCCACAGGGAAACCUCCACCAUCUUAACAAGUCGAUGUUGUACCUGAAGAAGAAUUCCGGUCGGUGAAUUCUCUUGGUCACCAGGAUAUUCGACUACUUUCAGCCAUUGUAUAUAAGGUUCGAGAUCAGACACGAUCGGACACUU